rnacentral:rRNA from 1 species
GGGUUGUCAUGCCAAUGGCACUGCCCGGUAGCUAAAUGCGGAAGAGAUAAGUGCUGAAAGCAUCUAAGCACGAAACUUGCCCCGAGAUGAGUUCUCCCUGAGACUAUAAGUCUCCUGAAGGAACGUUGAAGACGACGACGUUGAUAGGCCGGGUGUGUAAGCGCAGCGAUGCGUUGAGCUAACCGGUACUAAUGAACCGUGAGGCUUAACCUUACAUCGCGGAAG